CCUUGGUGCUUUCCGCGCACGUCGCUGUCCAGAUGACGAUGGCGCGUGAAAGGGGUGAUGGGUCCGGAGCAUCUCGCGAGUUGCCAGCAGCAGCGGCACGCAAACCGCUCGGCGUGGAUCGACGCCCAUCGGACGUUUCGCUGGUUGGAGAUGGGCAUCGUUCAGACUUGCUCCCUACUAAAAGGCGUCAGAACUCUGAAUGGCCCGAGAGGUUUACCGAUGGAUGGCGCAGGGUGUCGCGGAAUCUUUGGCCUACUAGGCUACAACCAGUAGCCUAGGGUCCUAGUGAUUUUGCAUCUCCUUGUGCGGUCGAUUGGUACAGACUACACUGUUAGAGUAUAUUAUUCAGAUUUGAUCUUUGUUUGCCGCCGCCUUCGGGGAGAUCGCUAUCCACCGGGAGCGGCGUCCUCGUGGGAUACACCGCGGAUCCAUCUGAUCUGCUGCGUUCGUCGUCGCGUCGUCAAGCACAUCACCAGAUCGGAACUCACCAUCAAAGCUUCGGCGGCGGCCUAUGUCCACCUUCCCAUCGACUAGCCCAAGUGGAUCUGGCCCAUUGCACGUCGUCGUGGUGGCGGCUGUGAUGGGGCUGAAUCCCCGACGUGGAGGCGGAUGCGACCUCCACUGUCGCGCGGGUUACCCAGUGAUUUACAAGAUAUGUUGUUGUUGUUGUUGUUGUUGCGUCUUUUCGUUUUUUUCCUGCCAGAGAUCGGGUUUGCGCCUCCAUCAUCCAUCGCCCGUCGGCUCACGCGUCAUCGACAUUGGCUUCGACAACAUCGACUCCUUCAUCUUUUUCCGACUGUGCCGCAUGGCGUGGCUAGCGACGUUCUACGAACGCCCACAUUCUGUUUAUGCGCCUCUCCAAUGACACAUCGAUCUCCGCCAGUUCAUCGUCGCCACUACUGAUUGAGAGGUUCUGCCAUAGACAUCGACAUCACCAUUGUUGUCACGUCGGUAUGGCCAACCGAUCGCAUGCGCGACCUCACCCUCCCGUGACGUCUGUUGUCUACCGCGAGUUCCUUCACCGAGCAUGAGGGUUGUCGCUGUAUCGCCUCCUUGGCACUAGCGCGGCUUGUCGCCGUCCCUAUCGAUGUGUCGCCAUUUUAGGAAUGUUCCACUUAAAGCUCCUUGGGGAAAUGAUGUCAUAAUUGAGUACUAACAUCCUACUUGUACCCGUUUAAGGUUUAUGGUUAGCUCUUUGUAAUUA